rnacentral:rRNA from 1 species
UACAGAGGGGGCAAGCGUUAUUCGGAAUUAUUGGGCGUAAAGGGCGCGUAGGCGGCCAUUCAAGUGACGGGUGAAAGCCCUCGGCUUAACCGAGGAACUGCCUGUCAGACUGGAUGGCUUGAGACCGGGAGAGGUGAGUGGAAUUCCCGGUGUAGUGGUGAAAUGCGUAGAUAUCGGGAGGAACACCAGUGGCGAAGGCGGCUUCCUGGCCCGUUCUUGACGCUGAGGCGCGAAAGCUAGGGGAGCAAACGGG